rnacentral:rRNA from 1 species
GUGUCAGCAGCCGCGGUAAUACGGAGGGUGCGAGCGUUGUCCGGAAUCACUGGGCGUAAAGGGCGCGUAGGCGGCGGGGUAAGCGUGCGGUGAAAGCUCGGGGCUCAACCCCGAGUCGGCCGUGCGAACUGCUUCGCUCGAGCACUGUAGAGGCAGGUGGAAUUCCGGGUGUAGCGGUGGAAUGCGUAGAGAUCCGGAAGAACACCAGUGGCGAAGGCGGCCUGCUGGGCAGUGGCUGACGCUGAGGCGCGACAGCGUGGGGAGCAAACAGGAUUAGAUACCCUCGUAGUCC